rnacentral:lncRNA from 1 species
CCUGACGACAAGAGUCUGUUCAAAGAGCAGUGAAUGAGAUAGCAAACUCUGUUUGUUGAGUGCUUUCACUUGAAUACCAUUCAAAGGAAAGUUCAUUUAGUUCAGAAAAAAUAAGAAUCUAUAAUCAGAAUAAAAGAAGAAAUAUCUUUGUUAACAAUGUCCUCUUUUAUUAUAAUCCAAUUUGAUCAGCCCACACAACAUGAUUAGAACAGUAGCCAUCAACAGCUAAAGUUGUCUA